rnacentral:ncRNA from 1 species
AAUAAGACGUUGAACAGGAAUUUUAAUUAUUGAGUGUUUCACAGGAAGCUCACGGUUAUGAGAGUGAGUAACACGGUAGUUAAAUCGUACCUGAGAGUCAUUUUUCGAAAUGAGUAGAAAAAAUCGUAGGCGGCGUUAACGCUGAAGUUAUUAUAACUUCUCGAGCUAGUAUUCGUGAGAAUACUAGGAAUUGAGGUGGCACCGCGAUUUAUUCGUCCUCUUG